rnacentral:rRNA from 1 species
AGCGAACGCUGGCGGCAGGCCUAACACAUGCAAGUCGAGCGCCCCGCAAGGGGAGCGGCAGACGGGAGAGUAACACGUGGGAACGUGCCCUUUGGUUCGGAACAACCCAGGGAAACUUGGGCUACUACCGGAUAAGCCCUCACGGGGAAAGAUUUAUCGCCGAAGGAGCGGCCCGCGUCUGAUUAGCUAGUUGGUGGGGUAAUGGGCCACCAAGGCGACGAUCAGUAGCUGGUCUGAGAGGAGGAUCAGCCUCACUGGGACUGAGACACGGGCCAGACUCCGACGGGAGGCAGCAGUGGGGAAUAUUGGACGAUGGGCGCGAGCUUGAUCCAGCCAUGCCGCGUGGGUGAUGAAGGCCCUAGGGUUGUAAAGCCCUUUCGGCGGGGAAGAUAAUGACGGUACCCGCAGAAGGAGCCCCGGCUAACUUCGUGCCAGCCGCCGCAGUAA